UCUAGGGAGGGGCAUCUAUGGAUGAGGCUACCAUGUGGGAAAUUCUUGAGUGGGCAGUGAGAGAGGGUGAGCAACUCAAAGCAAGUAAUCCAAGAGUUAAUCAGGAGAGACACUCAAUCCAGAAAGUGCUCAUUAACCCAAGCCUUUCUGCAUAGUGUCCCUACCACCCUGCUGCCUCUAACUAAACAAAACACGGUAGGUCUCAGUGUGAGAGAGCGCUUUUGUUCACAUAGGAGGCUGACAGCUAUUUGCGAUGAGGGGUUUUUGUUUGUUUGUUUGUUAUUCAAAUAACUCUUUCCCCCUGAGGAAACUGAAAGGGAAAAUGUCAGAAGUAUGUGAUUAAUGAUUUUUAAAAAUAGAUGGGAUCUCCUGGUUGAAAUGAAAAGUAGGUAUUGAAAAGAAUCCAUUUCUAAAUGGUAGAUUUUCAUAUGUAAGUUUGAUAUUAAUUCUUUCAAAAGAGUUGUGCCUGUGAGUCAGAUAAAUGACAGGAAGGUCUGUCUAAAUACCAGCAUCCUCAGAAGGGCAGCUGUUCAGAAACAUUCUCAAAUCAUGAAGAUAAAUAGAACCGGAACACUGAUGAUUCCAUCAACUGAUGGUUUCUUUUAAUCAGAUCUUAAAGCAAAGACAGAAGCUGAAAACAUUUAUAGUAAAUAAACAGCAAAGAACUCUGAAAGCUUAGCCCACCAGAACCCCGGAAGGAGCCGGCCUGGUACUGCCAGGCAUGACUGGCUUUGGUGGAUUUAACAAUAAAAAAGAAGAUGGCGCCAAAUGACCAAACUACAUGCAGCCUUCCCUUCCCGCAACAAAAGUGGAUAAAACUUUCCACUGGGGCUGGGGGAGGAGGCAGGGGACCA